rnacentral:ncRNA from 2 species
CAACGUUCUCAGGGCGGGGUGCAAUUCCCCACCGGCGGUAAUUGCGCCCAGCGCGCAUAGCCCGCGAGCGCUUGCAGGCAAGGCUUUGCAAGGUCAGCAGACCCGGUGCGAUCCCGGGGCCGACGGUCACAGUCCGGAUAAAGAGAGAACGGGA